AUGGAGAGCACCCAGAGCAACACAAGCGUGAUGAACCAUUUCAUCCUGGUGCACGGCCUCUGCCACGGGGCCUGGUGUUGGUACAAGGUGGUUGCGGCGCUUCAGGCAGCGGGGCACCGUGUCACGGCGGUCGACCUGGCCGCGUCCGGCGCUCACCCGGCGCGCAUCGACGAGGUGCACUCGUUCGAGGAGUACUCCCAGCCUCUGCUUGACGUAGUGGCCGCGGCGCCAGAGGGUGGCGGCGAGAGGCUGAUUCUGGUCGGGCACAGCCACGGCGGGCUCAGCUUGGCGCUAGCCAUGGAGAGGUUCCCCGGCAAGGUCGCCGCCGCCGUGUUCGCAGCCGCCGGGAUGCCGUGCGUUGGCAAGCACAUGGGCGUCACCACCGAGGAGUUCAUGCGAAGGACAUCAUCGGAAGGACUCAUGGACUGCAAGAUGCUGCCAAUCAAUAACAACCACGGUGCAGGGGUUGCAAUGAUAAUGGGCCCAAACUUCUUAGCACGCAAGAACUACCAGCAAAGUUCACCUGAGGAUUUGGCCCUGGCAAAAAUGUUGGUGAGACCGGGAAACCUGUUCAUGGAGGAUCCGGUGAUGAAGGAUGCAAGCCUGCUCACCGAUACCAACUACGGGUCGGUGAAGAAGGUAUAUGUGGUAGCAAAGGCUGAUGGCUCCAGCACCGAGGAGAUGCAGCGUUGGAUGGUGUUGUUGAGCCCCGGCACGGAGGCCGAGGAGAUCGCGGGAGCUGACCACGCCAUCAUGAGCUCAAGGCCUAGGGAGCUCUGUGAUGCUCUGGUCAAGAUCGCCGACAGCUUAAAUACUUGCUAA
rnacentral:rRNA from 1 species